rnacentral:rRNA from 1 species
CCCUUAGAUGUUCUGGGCCGCACACGCGCUACGCUGAAGGAGGCAGCGUGUACUCCUGGAUCGAAAGAUUUGGGUAACCCGCGAAUCUCCUUCGUGCUAGGGAUUGAGGUUUGCAAUUAUCCUUCAUGAACGAGGAAUUCCCAGUAAGUGCAAGUCAUAAGCUUGCGCUGACUACGUCCCUGCCCUUUGUACACACCGCCCGUCGCUACUACCGAUUGAAUGAUUUAGUGAGGACUUCGGACUGGGACCGAUGCGGCUUUCGGGCUGCGUCGGUAUUCUGGAAAGAUGUCCAAACUGUAUCAUUUAGAGGAAGUAAAAGUCGUAACA